rnacentral:tRNA from 1 species
AGAGGUGCCAUAGCUUAGUGGUAGAGCAUCUGCUUGGCAUGCAAAAGGUCCCAGGUUCAACCCCAGUCAUCUCCA